rnacentral:rRNA from 1 species
AUACGGAGGGUGCAAGCGUUACUCGGAAUCACUGGGCGUAAAGCGCGCGCAGGCGGUCUUUUAAGUUGGAUGUGAAAGCCUACAGCUCAACUGUAGAACUGCAUCCAAAACUAUUAGACUAGAGUCUGGGAGGGGAAGAUGGAAUUAGUUGUGUAGGGGUAAAAUCCGUAGAGAUAACUAGGAAUACCAAAAGCGAAGGCGAUCUUCUGGAACAGUACUGACGCUGAGGCGCGAAAGCGUGGGGAGCAAACAGGAUUAGAUACCCUAGUAGUCC